rnacentral:rRNA from 1 species
AUUGAACGCUGGCGGCAGGCCUAACACAUGCAAGUCGAGCGGAUGAAGGGAGCUUGCUCCUGGAUUCAGCGGCGGACGGGUGAGUAAUGCCUAGGAAUCUGUCUGGGAGUGGGGGAUAACGUCCGGAAACGGGCGCUAAUACCGCAUACGUCCUGAGGGGGAAAGUGGGGGAUCUUCGGACUUCACGCUAUCAGAUGAGCCUAGGUCGGAUUAGCUAGUUGGUGGGGUAAAGGCCUACCAAGGCGACGAUCCGUAACUGGUCUGAGAGGAUGAUCAGUCACACUGGAACUGAGACACGGUCCCAACUCCUACGGGAGGCAGCAGUGGGGAAUAUUGGAGAAUGGGCGAAAGCCUGAUCCAGCCAUGCCGCGUGUGUGAAGAAGGUCUUCGGAUUGUAAAGCACUUUGAGUUGGGAGGAAGGGCAGUAAGUUAAUACCUUGCUGUUUUGACGUUACCAGGAGAAUAAGCACCGGCUAACUUCGUG